GCUAUACAUGCAGUCGACGCUUCUUUUUCCACCGGAGCUUGCUCCACCGGAAAAAGAGGAGUGGCGAACGGGUGAGUAACACGUGGGUAACCUGCCCAUCAGAAGGGGAUAACACUUGGAAACAGGUGCUAAUACCGUAUAACAAUCGAAACCGCAUGGUUUUGAUUUGAAAGGCGCUUUCGGGUGUCGCUGAUGGAUGGACCCGCGGUGCAUUAGCUAGUUGGUGAGGUAACGGCUCACCAAGGCGACGAUGCAUAGCCGACCUGAGAGGGUGAUCGGCCACAUUGGGACUGAGACACGGCCCAAACUCCUACGGGAGGCAGCAGUAGGGAAUCUUCGGCAAUGGACGAAAGUCUGACCGAGCAACGCCGCGUGAGUGAAGAAGGUUUUCGGAUCGUAAAACUCUGUUGUUAGAGAAGAACAAGGAUGAGAGUAACUGUUCAUCCCUUGACGGUAUCUAACCAGAAAGCCACGGCUAACUACGUGCCAGCAGCCGCGGUAAUACGUAGGUGGCAAGCGUUGUCCGGAUUUAUUGGGCGUAAAGCGAGCGCAGGCGGUUUCUUAAGUCUGAUGUGAAAGCCCCCGGCUCAACCGGGGAGGGUCAUUGGAAACUGGGAGACUUGAGUGCAGAAGAGGAGAGUGGAAUUCCAUGUGUAGCGGUGAAAUGCGUAGAUAUAUGGAGGAACACCAGUGGCGAAGGCGGCUCUCUGGUCUGUAACUGACGCUGAGGCUCGAAAGCGUGGGG
rnacentral:rRNA from 1 species